rnacentral:tmRNA from 1 species
GGGGGUGAAUGGCUUUGACAGCGUGUAGAAGCGGUGUGUAAGCAUGCAGAGCGAUGAUGGCUAUGCUCUUUAAUCUCAGACAUCAAAAAUUUAACUGGCGAGAAUAACUACGCUCUUGCUGCUUGAUUGAAGUAUAGUAAAUCAGCUUAAUCUCUGCCACAGUGGUGGAGACAAGACAUCACCCGAUUGCCCCGUUCCGAGACGGUUCGAUAAGGUGGUGCUAAGAAAUUCGGGAAUUGAGCUGUGUGCUCCGCGGUUAUAGGUUGAAAUUUAGAGGAUAAGUUUCAGGUUGGUGGUCGAGAGCCUGCCUGAUUCCGACAAACAAGUCACGACUAAGCAUGUAGAAAGCCCAUUGGUUCCGCGUUUGGACGAGGGUUCAAACCCCUCCACCUCCACA